UCUAAAAGUAAUAAAAAAUUGAAGUAUUAAAAGUUAUGUUCUCUAAAUUUAAAGAUUUUGGCGGUAUUUUAAUCUUUUCAGAGGAACCUGUUCUAUAAUUGAUAAYCCACGAUUAAUUUUAUUUAAAUUAGAAAUUUGUAUAUCAUCGUAAUUUGAAUAUUUUAUAAGAAUUAAAUAUUCAAUAUUUUUAAUUUGAAAAUAAAUCAGAUCAAGGUGCAGUUUAUAUUUAAGGAGUAAUGGGUUACAUUAAAUUAAUUUUUGGAUUUAAAAUUGAAAAUUUUAUUUAAAUUGGAUUUGAAAGUAAAUAUAAAAAUAUUUUUAUAUUGAUUAAGUUCUAAAAUAUGC
rnacentral:rRNA from 1 species